ensembl:lncRNA
AGGGGGCAGCUGCAGCCCCACGGCCCGUUUCUGCCCUCCUCCUUCACGCCCUGCCUGCUAAGUUGUGGGGCAGUUGGCCACCAGGAAUUUCCUCCCCUCCGCCCCAUCCCGCCCGGCACCUUCCAGGGUGAGGGUGAGAAAUAACGAGACAGCAGCCUAGAGGAAGGAGAUCCAGGAGAGGAAAAAGAAACAAGUUUUAUUUAAGCCCCAAACACUCGGCUAGAAAAACCAAAAACAAAAGAGAGUAGGGAGGUGGGGAGAAGAAAAAGGACAUUAAAAAAGAGAGACAGAGAAAACACAGCAACCCUUUUCCAUUUGAAAUUGUCAAGUUACACUGACAGAGGUCACAGAAUAUCCACAGAAGCCAUCACUGCUACACCAACACGGGCCCUACGGGGUGGACAGGGUGGGGUGCGGAGUGGGGGUGAGCCUCAGGGGGCCCCACCUGGGACCCCUCUCAGAGCCUCAGGCCUGAGGCUCCUGGGGAAACAGCAUAUUGUGGAAGGGGCGGGAGAGAAACCCCCCAUGCGAGUAACACAGCACAGUGGAUGGGGGCCAGGGGGACCAGGUACAGGGGUCCCCCCAACAUCUUAGUUUUCUCUUGGUCAAGCACACACUGAUGGACAGAGCAUCGAGGCGCAUGCAGCUGGGGGGGCACUGACGUGCUGCAGGCUUUGAGAGGACCGUGGGGAUGGGGGCUUGGGAGGGGAGCCAGAGCGAGCGGUGCAGGGACGAUGGAACACACACACAGGCACUCCCACACGCCCGGGUCCACACACACGAGUCUCUCGCAGCUCCGCACGUCUGCACACACACAUUACACGUGUUCUCACCCGCAAAGCUCCUCCACACCAACGUGCAGGUGGGCACGUGCUGAUGCCCAAGCAGGCUGCAUGCACCUGUGUGCACAUGCCUCCCUGCACACGUGCGGUAGGUCACACCUGUGCGUGCACAUGCUUCCUCCACACGCCGGUAAGUGGACUUGGGUAAGGGGGCUUGCGCUGGUGUACACACACAUACACACACACACACAGGCUGUGCACAACUCCAUGCCAAUACCUCUCAGCCCGUAAAUGUGCAGGAACCAAGGUGACAGAAAGAUGCAAAUCCCACUGGGCUCCACGUGAGGGGGUGGGCGGGGCACAGGGCUCCCUCCAUCUGCCCCCUCGUGGAUGGACACCCCACACACCUCCUCCUCCCCCCACAAAGGGACAUUCAACUCAGGACAGUGACAGUGGGGCACACAUUCAGGUCACGGGGCUGAGGGUGGGAGGUGGGGGGGAGAAAACUAGCAAGCAGAGAGUAAUGGAGUGGAGGGAGGAGGGGGCACCACUCCCCUCCCCUCCCAAGUCAGAGGGUCUCUGUACAGCCAAAUCAACCAACCGUUUCACUGGACCACAGAAGCCAGGCCGGUGUGCCCAUCCUCAGCCCCCCUCCCCCGCCAGAACAGCGGCCAGGGAGAGAGUGCCGUGGUUUUCUUUUUUUUUUCUUUUUUAAAUAUUUAUAUAUAUUUAUAUUACGUAUAUUAUAUAUAUAUAAUAUGUAAAUAUAUUUUUAAAACAAUAUAAAAUGUUAAGACACUUCACUUAAAUGUAAAGAGUUGCCUGCAAUUAAAAGUAAUUGCAUCAUUUAUGAGGUCCUUUUUUUUUUUCUAUUUUCCAGGGUUUUUUUUCAGGAGGGAAUUUUUUUUUCCUCUUCUUUUGUUAUUUUUCAAAAAGGCUUGCUUGCCUUUGUACAAAAAUGAUCCAAAGCUAGAAAACAAGGAUGAGCCAACAAAAACAAAACAAAGAAAAAGAAAGAAAUGAAAGAACACAACCCAGGCCCCCCCCCCCCCCAACAGCUC